rnacentral:rRNA from 1 species
CCGAUUGAAUGGCUCAGUGAGGCCUUCGGACUGGCUCAGGGAGGUCGGCAACGACCACCCAGAGCCGGAAAGUUGGUCAAACUCGGUCAUUUAGAGGAAGUAAAAGUCGUAACAAGGUCUCCGUAGGUGAACCUGCGGAGGGAUCAUUA